AACAUCUCAGACUAAACAAAAACUACUAGAACAUCUAAUGUCCUCAAAUGACAUUGUUGUCAUUAACCUAUUCUCUAAAUUUAUCUCUCUCUGCUUAACAGAGCGAGAAAAUAGCCUCAAACCCAUGGAAAAUACGUAAUAAAAAACGACUGCAGCUAAUUUCAAAUUCAUUGCGAAAAUCACACUGCAAAUUGUUUUCCAAUCUUUCAUAAAAAAAACCCCUUACUUAGAAACUACGAAUACGAUCUAUAUUAUCCAUAAAAUAGAUGUAUAAAUCACUAUAAUGACACUUUCACUUUAUAUAUGUUCGUUUCUUCAAUACCUUGUACUGUAUGUAAUUAUAUAUAUAUAUAUAUAUAUAUAUAGAAUAUUCUAG